UGGAGUUCGACUCCACCUCCUCUGAGACCUCAUUUAAGGGCUGACCCUCACUGAGGCAGCAUCUCUUGGAGAUUGCUUGCUAGUGAAGAUCGCCUCAGCUCCUAGCAUCAUCACUGAUGUCAGCAUCUGAAAAUAUGGGUGCAAGCUUGCAAUCCUGGAUGCAGUAAGAUCUGCAGUGUUCUGCACAAAGGAGAAAAGAACCUGACAUUCUACUUGGCAGCUAUAGGUAAAUCAUCACUUUUGUAAAUGGGGUUACCUUCCUUACAGUCUUCUCUGUACUCCCUUUCCUGGGACAACCAAGUAGCAGUGGUUGAUGGAGCUUAUCUUCCGUGAAGGAGUACAGCACUCCAGACUUCAGAAUAUUUCAAAGGAACUCGAUGGAAUCUUCUCCUUUAUCAAAGAGCUUGAAGGAAUUAUCUCCCCUGCCUCCUAAAACUGCAGGAUCCAACUGACUAACCUGACACUGUGGAGCAGCCUCCUUCAGCAAGAUUUUAUACCCCAAAUGUGGCAGAGAAAAUUACUGAAAAGGACUAAGACUAGGACUAGGACUCCUCAGUCUACAGAAGAGACAAUGGUGAAGAGGUAUAAUGCUCAUUGCCUCAUGAGAGCAGGAAAAACAGAGAAGGGGUAGAAAAUUCCUCUCUAGCAUAAUUUACAAGUCAUGAGUUGUGUUUGUAUGAAUGGUUCAGUAGGGCACAUGAACCCAACUUAGUGCCAGGGCCCCAUCUUAAAUUUGAUUGAUUGGAUUGGUGGUAGGUCUAUUUAGAUUUAAAUUAUUAUAAAGACAUAAAGGACGUUGAAAGCUUGUUAGAAAGAGAAGCAGAUGGACAAUGCAAUAGCACAUUGCAAAAUGAUACUGGAAAGGCAAAAUAAACGGAGGGAUGGAUUCUAUAGCCUACAGGAAGUUUUGAGUCAAAUCAGAUUAACAAUCAAGCAAAUUCUGUCAACAAGUAACAGGAACCUUAUGAAUCGAAUUCCAUUUCCAUGUAGCAAAAAUACAACAUUAGGAUUUAAUUACUGAUUGCCUGAUGAGGACUGUGAUAGAGACUGACACACUGAGGAACGUCAAGGAGGUCAAUAAUUUGGUCCUGGGCAUUUACUGUUUAUGUGGUUAUGUGGCAAAUUAGACUACCUACCAAAAAAUUAGCUGGUGAGGAAUUAUGUGGUAUAAUAACAUUCAAAUAAUAUUGCAGGAGGAGCACUGAAGGCUGAAUCCCUGUUAGACCAACCAGUCUGAGCUGAAAGCAUCCCAGGUGGACAGUUAAAUGUUAAGGACCACACUGUACCAGGGAGUUCGGAAUUACUGUGCAUCACAAAGUUGCCCCUUGCAUGAUAAAUUGCUGCAAGAUAGUAGAUGUUUGCUCAGUUCAUUGCAUGGUUUUGCAAAUGCACAAUUUGAAAUGGGUUCUUGUUAAGUACUAAAAAUUCCAGUGGAUG